UCGAGCGCGCGCGCGACGGAGGGCCCGUCGUCGGCCCCCGCGGCGUCGCAGCAGAGGCGCAGGAACUCGGCGUGGGUGACGGUGCCCUCGCGGGAGGCCCGCACCCGCGCGCGCGCCGCCUCCAUCUGCGUGGCGCGCAGCACCUUCCGGGCCUCCUCCACCGUGAGGCUGGCCACGACCGUCGCGGCCUCCCUGGGAGUGGGAGGAUGCGGGCGGGGCGGGGCGGGCGGCACGAGGCCGUCGAGGUUGAUGCGCGGGAAGGAGACGCCGAGGUGGUCGCGGAUCCGGUCGGCCAGGGGCAUGAAUCCCACGUC
rnacentral:lncRNA from 1 species